rnacentral:rRNA from 1 species
UACGUAGGGUGCGAGCGUUGUCCGGAAUUAUUGGGCGUAAAGGGCUCGUAGGCGGUCUGUCGCGUCGGGAGUGAAAACUCAGGGCUUAACCCUGAGCCUGCUUCCGAUACGGGCAGACUAGAGGUAUGCAGGGGAGAACGGAAUUCCUGGUGUAGCGGUGGAAUGCGCAGAUAUCAGGAGGAACACCGGUGGCGAAGGCGGCUACCUGGACCGGUUCUGACGCUGAGGCGCGAAAGCGUGGGUAGCAAACAGG